UACGAAGGGGGCGAGCGUUGUCCGGAAUCAUUGGGCGUAAAGAGCGCGCAGGCGGCUUGGCUAGUCGGGUGUGAAAUCCCGGGGCUCAACCCCGUGACUGCAUCCGAUACUGUCAGGCUAGAGGUAGGUAGGGGAGAUCGGAAUUCCUGGUGUAGCGGUGAAAUGCGCAGAUAUCAGGAGGAACACCGGUGGCGAAGGCGGAUCUCUGGGCCUUACCUGACGCUCAGGCGCGAAAGCUAGGGGAGCGAACAGG
rnacentral:rRNA from 1 species